GUAGCGGGGGCUAUAAUGCAGUCGACGAGAUUAAGGGGCUUGCUCCUUAUGAAAGUGGCGCACGGGUGCGUAACGCGUAUGCAACCUACCUCAAUCAGGGGGAUAGCCCGAAGAAAUUCGGAUUAACACCGCAUAAAAACACAGGAUAGCAUUAUCUAAUGUUCAAAUAUUUAUAGGAUUGAGAUGGGCAUGCGUGUCAUUAGCUAGUUGGCGGGGUAACGGCCCACCAAGGCGACGAUGACUAGGGGAUCUGAGAGGAUGACCCCCCACACUGGUACUGAGACACGGACCAGACUCCUACGGGAGGCAGCAGUAAGGAAUAUUGGUCAAUGGAGGCAACUCUGAACCAGCCAUGCCGCGUGCAGGAAGACAGCCCUCUGGGUCGUAAACUGCUUUUAUUCGGGAAUAAACCUAUUUACGUGUAGAUAGCUGAAUGUACCGAAGGAAUAAGGAUCGGCUAACUCCGUGCCAGCAGCCGCGGUAAUACGGAGGAUCCAAGCGUUAUCCGGAUUUAUUGGGUUUAAAGGGUGCGUAGGCGGCUUAUUAAGUCAGGGGUGAAAGACGGUGGCUCAACCAUCGCAGUGCCUUUGAUACUGAUGAGCUUGAAUGAACUAGAGGUAGGCGGAAUGUGACAAGUAGCGGUGAAAUGCAUAGAUAUGUCACAGAACACCGAUUGCGAAGGCAGCUUACUAUGGUUUUAUUGACGCUGAUGCACGAAAGCGUGGGGAUCAAACAGGAUUAGAUACCCUGGUAGUCCACGCCCUAAACGAUGAAUACUCGCUGUUAGCGAUAUACAGUUAGCGGCUAAGCGAAAGCGUUAAGUAUUCCACCUGGGGAGUACGCCCGCAAGGUGAAACUCAAAGGAAUUGACGGGGCCCGCACAGCGGAGGAGCAUGUGGUUUAUUCGAUGAUACACGAGGAACCUUACCCGGGCUUGAAAGUUAGUGAUGAUCUAGAGAUAGAUCAGUGAGCAAUCACACGGAAACUACGUGCUGCAUGGCUGUCGUCAGCUCGUGCCGUGAGGUGUGGGUUAAGUCCCGCAACGAGCGCACCCCUAUGUUAAGUUGCCAGCACGUAA
rnacentral:rRNA from 1 species